rnacentral:sRNA from 1 species
AAAAUCGCCCAUUGCAUCAGACAGCCAGAUGUAAUCGCCGCGCUUGAUGUCAUGGGUCAACCACUGUGAACCCGU